rnacentral:rRNA from 1 species
AGAGUUUGAUCCUGGCUCAGAACGUACGCUGGCGGCACGCCUAACACAUGCAAGUCGAACGCAGUAGCAAUACUGAGUGGCAAACGGGUGAGUAUAAUGUGGGAAUCUGCCUUUUGGUUUGGAAUAACACGGGGAAACUUGUGCUAAUACCGAAUAAGCCCUUACGGGGAAAGUUUUAACGCCGAAAGAUGAGCCCGCACUUGAUUAGCUAGUUGGUAAGGUAAAAGCUUACCAAGGCAACGAUCAAUAGCUGUUCUUAGAGGAAGACCAGCCACAUUGGGACUGAGACACGGCCCAGACUCCUACGGGAGGCAGCAGUGGGGAAUCUUGCACAAUGGGGGAAACCCUGAUGCAGCGAUGCCGCGUGAGUGAAGAAGGCCCUUGGGUUGUAAAACUCUUUCGUCGGGGAAGAAAAUGACUGUACCCGAAUAAGAAGGUCCGGCUAACUUCGUGCCAGCAGCCGCGGUAAUACGAAGGGACCUAGCGUAGUUCGGAAUUACUGGGCUUAAAAAGCUCGUAGGUGGUUAAAAAAGUUGAUGGUGAAAUCCCAAGGCUCAACCUUGGAACUGCCAUCAAAACUUUUUAGCUAGAGUGUGAUAGAGGUAAGUGGAAUUUCUAGUGUAGAGGUGAAAUUCGUAGAUAUUAGAAAGAACACCAAAUGCGAAGGCAACUUACUGGGUCACUACUGACACUGAGGAGCGAAAGCAUGGGUAGCGAAGAGGAUUAGAUACCCUCGUAGUCCAUGCCGUAAACGAUGAGUGCUAGACGUUGGAAAUAUAUUUUUCAGUGUCGCAGCGAAAGCAUUAAGCACUCCGCCUGGGGAGUACGACCGCAAGGUUAAAACUCAAAUGAAUUGACGGGGACCCGCACAAGCAGUGGAGCAUGUGGUUUAAUUCGAAGAUACGCGCAGAACCUUACCAACGCUUGACAUGUUCGUCGCGAGACUAAGAGAUUAGUUUCUUCAGUUCGGCUGGACGAAACACAGGUGCUGCAUGGCUGUCGUCAGCUCGUGUCGUGAGA